GAUGAACGCUGGCGGCGUGCCUAAUACAUGCCAGUCGAGCGAACAGACGAGGAGCUUGCUCCUCUGACGUUAGCGGCGGACGGGUGAGUAACACGUGGAUAACCUACCUAUAAGACUGGGAUAACUUCGGGAAACCGGAGCUAAUACCGGAUAAUAUAUUGAACCGCAGGGUUCAAUAGUGAAAGACGGUUUUGCUGUCACUUAUAGAUGGAUCCGCGCCGCAUUAGCUAGUUGGUAAGGUAACGGCUUACCAAGGCGACGAUGCGUAGCCGACCUGAGAGGGUGAUCGGCCACACUGGAACUGAGACACGGUCCAGACUCCUACGGGAGGCAGCAGUAGGGAAUCUUCCGCAAUGGGCGAAAGCCUGACGGAGCAACGCCGCGUGAGUGAUGAAGGUCUUCGGAUCGUAAAACUCUGUUAUUAGGGAAGAACAAAUGUGUAAGUAACUAUGCACGUCUUGACGGUACCUAAUCAGAAAGCCACGGCUAACUACGUG
rnacentral:rRNA from 1 species